UAAUACAGAGGGUGCGAGCGUUAAUCGGAAUUACUGGGCGUAAAGCGCGCGUAGGCGGCUUUGCAAGUCGGGUGUGAAAUCCCCAGGCUUAACCUGGGAACUGCAUUCGAGACUGCAUUGCUAGAGUAUGGGAGAGGGCAGUGGAAUUUCCGGUGUAGCGGUGAAAUGCGUAGAUAUCGGAAGGAACAUCAGUGGCGAAAGCGACUGCCUGGACCAAUACUGACGCUCAUGUGCGAAAGCGUGGGGAGCAAACAGGAUUAGAUACCCUGGUAGUCCACGCCAUAAACGAUGACAACUGGAUGUCGGGAGGGUCUGCCUCUCGGUGUCGUAGCUAACGCGUUAAGUUGUCCGCCUGGGGAGUACGGCCGCAAGGUUG
rnacentral:rRNA from 1 species